AGUGAACGCUGGCGGUAGGCCUAACACAUGCAAGUCGAACGGCAGCACAGUAAGAGCUUGCUCUUACGGGUGGCGAGUGGCGGACGGGUGAGGAAUACAUCGGAAUCUACUUUUUCGUGGGGGAUAACGUAGGGAAACUUACGCUAAUACCGCAUACGACCUACGGGUGAAAGCAGGGGAUCUUCGGACCUUGCGCGAUUGAAUGAGCCGAUGUCGGAUUAGCUAGUUGGCGGGGUAAAGGCCCACCAAGGCGACGAUCCGUAGCUGGUCUGAGAGGAUGAUCCGCCACACUGCAACUGAAACACGGUCCAGACUCCUACGGGAGGCAGCAGUGGGGAAUAUUGGACAAUGGGCGCAAGCCUGAUCCAGCCAUACCGCGUAGGUGAAGAAGGCCUUCUGGUUGUAAAGCCCUUUUGUUGGGAAAGAAAAGCAGCAGGUUAAUACCCCGCUGUUCUGACGGUACCCAAAGAAUAAGCACCGGCUAACUUCGUG
rnacentral:rRNA from 1 species